rnacentral:miRNA from 1 species
GGCCUCACUCUGUAGCCCAGGAUGGCCUUGAACUCCUGAUUUUUCUGCCUCAGCCUCCCGAGUGCUGGAAUUAUAGGCAUGCAUCACCAUU